AGCCUAUUAGCUCAAUUGGUAGAGCAAUGUGCCAUUGCGCAUAUAUGUAGGUUCGAGUCCUACAUAGGCUA
rnacentral:tRNA from 1 species